GAUGAACGCUGGCGGCGUGCCUAAUACAUGCAAGUCGAGCGAACAGAUAAGGAGCUUGCUCCUUUGACGUUAGCGGCGGACGGGUGAGUAACACGUGGGUAACCUACCUAUAAGACUGGAAUAACUCCGGGAAACCGGGGCUAAUGCCGGAUAAUAUUUAGAACCGCAUGGUUCUAAAGUGAAAGAUGGUUUUGCUAUCACUUAUAGAUGGACCCGCGCCGUAUUAGCUAGUUGGUGGGGUAAUGGCUUACCAAGGCAACGAUACGUAGCCGACCUGAGAGGGUGAUCGGCCACACUGGAACUGAGACACGGUCCAGACUCCUACGGGAGGCAGCAGUAGGGAAUCUUCCGCAAUGGGCGAAAGCCUGACGGAGCAACGCCGCGUGAGUGAUGAAGGUCUUCGGAUCGUAAAACUCUGUUAUUAGGGAAGAACAAAUGUGUAAGUAACUGUGCACGUCUUGACGGUACCUAAUCAGAAAGCCACGGCUAACUACGUGCCAGCAGCCGCGGUAAU
rnacentral:rRNA from 1 species